rnacentral:rRNA from 1 species
UUGCUGGGUUGGGAUGAGUGGCGAACGGGUGAGUAACACGUGAGUAACCUGCCCCCCUUCCUUUGGGAUAACGGUCGGAAACGGCUGCUAAUACCGGGUAUUCACUGUCCUUCGCAUGGGGGGUGGUGGAAAGGUUUUUUUCUGGUGGGGGAUGGGCUCGCGGCCUAUCAGCUUGUUGGUGGGGUGAUGGCUUACCAAGGCUUUGACGGGUAACCGGCCUGAGAGGGUGACCGGUCACAUUGGGACUGAGAUACGGCCCAG